UUGCAUAUCCAAUAGCGGAGGAAAAGAAACCAACAGGGAUUGCCUCAGUAACGGCGAGUGAAGCGGCAAAAGCUCAAAUUUGAAAUCUAGCACCUUCGGUGUUCGAGUUGUAAUUUGAAGAUGGUAACCUUGGGUUUGGCUCUUGUCUAUGUUCCUUGGAACAGGACGUCAUAGAGGGUGAGAAUCCCGUCUGAUGAGAUGCCCAUUCCUAUGUAAGGUGCUAUCGAAGAGUCGAGUUGUUUGGGAAUGCAGCUCUAAGUGGGUGGUAAAUUCCAUCUAAAGCUAAAUAUUGGCGAGAGACCGAUAGCGAACAAGUACAGUGAUGGAAAGAUGAAAAGAACUUUGAAAAGAGAGUGAAAAAGUACGUGAAAUUGUUGAAAGGGAAGGGCAUUAGAUCAGACUUGGUGUUUUACGAUUAUCUUCUCUUCUUGAGUUGUGCACUCGUAUUUCACUGGGCCAGCAUCGAUUCGGAUGGCAAGAUAAUGGCAGUUGAAUGUGGCUUCACUUCGGUGGAGUGUUAUAGCUUCUGCUGAUAUUGCCUGUCUGGAUCGAGGGCUGCGUCUUUUGACUAGGAUGCUGGCGUAAUGAUCUAAUGCCGCCCGUCU
rnacentral:rRNA from 1 species